rnacentral:piRNA from 1 species
UGUCAGGUGUGUGCAGUGCAGUCCC